GCUAUGGAGCACUUAGCAUUGCAUAUUACUACAGGAGAUCAGCUUCUGUAGAUAUUCAUGACUUUGUGGAUCUGAAAAGAAAAUAAGUGAAUCAAUCUGCACAGAAAACACGAAAGUGAGAAUGGAGAAGAAGCUAUUUCACCCAUGAAAUGGGCCAGUGAGAUUCCUCACCUCCAGUCCUGGAAGAUGCCUGGAAACCGGUG